rnacentral:misc_RNA from 1 species
GGCCCGCCUGACCCCAGGUCGCCAGGGGGCACUCCCCGGGCGCGCGCCCGCCGAAGACACCCUGGAACUCUGUCUGUGAGUGUUGUCUGAGUAGGAUUUGAAUCAGUUAAAACUUUCAACAACGGAUCUCUUGGUUCCGGCAUCGAUGAA